UACGGGGGGAGCAAGCGUUGUUCGGAUUUACUGGGCGUAAAGGGCGCGUAGGCGGUCGUGACAAGUCACUUGUGAAAUCUCCGGGCUUAACUCGGAACGGUCAAGUGAUACUGUCGUGCUAGAGUACAGAAGGGGCAACUGGAAUUCUCGGUGUAGCGGUGAAAUGCGUAGAUAUCGAGAGGAACACCUGCGGCGAAGGCGGGUUGCUGGGCUGAUACUGACGCUGAGGCGCGGAAAGCUAGGGGAGCGA
rnacentral:rRNA from 1 species